AAAACUUUACGACAAAAGAGAUGAUUUCAGCUUUCCAAUUGUGAACUUUCCAUUUCUAAGUAGCAACAUUCCAGCAGCACCUGCAUACGGGGUAUAUAUUUCCCAAUUGAUACGAUAUUCCCGUGCUUGCAUUUCCUAUCAUGAUUUUCUUGAUAGAGGGUUUCUGCUCACAAGGAAGCUAUUAAACCAAGAGUUCCAAAUGGUGAAGUUGAAAUCAUCCCUUCGUAAAUUUUACGGACGCCAUCACGAGUUGGUUGAACGUUAUGGAAUAACCGUUUCACAAAUGAUAUCGGAUAUGUUCCUUACGUCGUAACUACAAUCCCCUUCCC
rnacentral:lncRNA from 1 species